rnacentral:rRNA from 1 species
GGCGUUAAGUUGCAGGGUAUAGACCCGAAACCCGGUGAUCUAGCCAUGGGCAGGUUGAAGGUUGGGUAACACUAACUGGAGGACCGAACCGACUAAUGUUGAAAAAUUAGCGGAUGACCUGUGGCUGGGGGUGAAAGGCCAAUCAAACCGGGAGAUAGCUGGUUCUCCCCGAAAGCUAUUUAGGUAGCGCCUCGUGAAUUCAUCUCCGGGGGUAGAGCACUGUUUCGGCUAGGGGGCCAUCCCGGCUUACCAACCCGAUGCAAACUGCGAAUACCGGAGAAUGUUAUCACGGGAGACACACGGCGGGUGCUAACGUCCGUCGUGAAGAGGGAAACAACCCAGACCGCCAGCUAAGGUCCCAAAGUCAUGGUUAAGUGGGAAACGAUGUGGGAAGGCCCAGACAGCCAGGAUGUUGGCUUAGAAGCAGCCAUCAUUUAAAGAAAGCGUAAUAGCUCACUGGUCGAGUCGGCCUGCGCGGAAGAUGUAACGGGGCUAAACCAUGCACCGAAGCUGCGGCAGCGAACGUAUCACCCAAGACAACUUUACGGAGUUGACGAUUGACGGAGCGAAGCGACGUCAAAGCGUUCAUUAAAGUCGAGUUGGCUUAGGGAUACGUUCGUUGGGUAGGGGAGCGUUCUGUAAGCCUGUGAAGGUGUGUCGUGAGGCAUGCUGGAGGUAUCAGAAGUGCGAAUGCUGACAUAAGUAACGAUAAAGCGGGUGAAAAGCCCGCUCGCCGGAAGACCAAGGGUUCCUGUCCAACGUUAAUCGGGGCAGGGUGAGUCGACCCCUAAGGCGAGGCCGAAAGGCGUAGUCGAUGGGAAACGGGUUAAUAUUCCCGUACUUGGUGUUACUGCGAAGGGGGGACGGAGAAGGCUAUGUUGGCCGGGCGACGGUUGUCCCGGUUUAAGCGUGUAGGUGUGUGUUCCAGGUAAAUCCGGUUCACUUUAACACUGAGGCGUGACGACGAGGCACUACGGUGCUGAAGCAACAAAUGCCCUGCUUCCAGGAAAAGCCUCUAAGCAUCAGGUAACACGAAAUCGUACCCCAAACCGACACAGGUGGUCAGGUAGAGAAU